ensembl:lncRNA
AGAAAAGAAAAGAAAAGAAAAGAAAAGAAAAGAAAAGAAAAGAAAAGAAAAGAAAAGAAAAGAAAAGAAAAGAAAAGAAAAGAAAAGAAAAGAAAAGAAAAGAAAAGAAAAGAAAAGAAAAGAAAAAGAAAGGAGGCCUCCCCCAAGGUCUGCAAGUCAUGAAAAUAUUAAGCACUCCAAGAUCCAGAGCAGAGUGAGAUUGGAUAUACCCUGCCACUUACCAUGGACCAUUGCUACUGUCUGGAAUGUUGUCCAU